rnacentral:rRNA from 1 species
AGAGUUUGAUCCUGGCUCAGAGUGAACGCUGGCGGCGUGGCUUAGGCAUGCAAGUCGAACGCGAAAGGCUUCGGCCGAGUAGAGUGGCGAAAGGGUGAGUAAUGCAUAGACAACCUACCUCCUGGACCGGAACAACCACUGGAAACGGUGGCUAAAGCCGGAUUGUCUGCCGCGGCGGCAUCGCCGCGUCAGUAAAUGGUUGCUCUCGGGCUUCUGUCGAGGGAGGGGCCUAUAUCCUAUUAGCUUGUUGGUGGGGUAACGGCCUACCAAGGCUUUGAUGGGUAGCCGGACUGAGAGGUUGGCCGGUCACACUGGGACUGAGACACUGCCCAGACUCCUACGGGAGGCUGCAGUCGAGAAUCUUCCGCAAUGGACGCAAGUCUGACGGGGCGACGCCGCGUGUGGGAUGAAGGCCUUCGGGUUGUAAAGUUCUGUCAAGAGGGAAGAAAUUCCAGGGGUUAAUAGCCUUCUGGGUUGACCACCGUGUGAGGAAGCACAGGCUAACUCCGUGCCAGCAGCCGCGGUAAUACGGAGUGUGCAAGCGUUACUCGGAAUCACUGGGCAUAAAGAGCACGUAGGCGGGUAGGCAAGUCGGUUGUGAAAUCCCUCGGCUCAACCGGGGAACUGCAACCGAAACUGCUUGUCUUGAGGGCGAGAGGGGUGAGCGGAACUUCUGGUGGAGCGGUGAAAUGCGUAGAUAUCAGAAGGAACGCCGGUGGUGAAAACGGCUCACUGGCUCGUUUCUGACGCUGAGGUGCGAAAGCUAGGGUAGCGAACGGGAUUAGAUACCCCGGUAGUCCUAGCCGUAAACGAUGAGCACUAGGUAGGGGAGGUUCUGACGCCUUCCCUGCUGUAGCUAAUGUGUUAAGUGCUCCGCCUGGGGAGUAUGGUCGCAAGGCUAAAACUCAAAGGAAUUGACGGGGGCUCACACAAGCGGUGGAGCAUGUGGUUUAAUUCGAAGCAACGCGCAGAACCUUACCUAGGUUUGACAUGGCAGGAUUAGUCUUGUGAAAGCAAGAUGACGCGGGUAACCGUGGAACUGUCACAGGUGCUGCAUGGCUGUCGUCAGCUCGUGUCGUGAGAUGUCGGGUUAAGUCCCUUAACGAGCGAAACCCUUACCGUUAUUUGCCAGCGGGUUAUGCCGGGCACCAUAGCGGGACCGCCGUGGUUAACACGGAGGAAGGCGGGGAUGACGUCAAGUCCUCAUGGCCCUUACACCUAGGGCUACACACGUGCUACAAUGGCCGAGACAGAGGGUUGCCAAACGGUAACGUGGAGCUAAUCCCUUAAACUCGGUCCCAGUACGGAUUGAAGGCUGCAAUUCGCCUUCAUGAAGUUGGAAUCGCUAGUAAUCGCGAAUCAGCAAUGUCGCGGUGAAUAUGUUCCUGAGCCUUGUACACACCGCCCGUCAAGCCACGGGAGUUGGUAGUGCCCGAAGUCGCUGACUCAACCCGCAAGGGAGAGAGGUGCCUACGGUAAGGCCGGUGACUGGGACUAAGUCGUAACAAGGUAACC